UUAGAGGAAGUAAAAGUCGUAACAAGGUUUCCGUAGGUGAACCUGCGGAAGGAUCAUUAUCGAGAUCGAACCUCUGGGAGGGGGAGGGCUUCCCGAACCCUUUCGAGGCUUCAGCCCUCUAACACCUGUGUGCACCCACUGUAGGUCCUUAGGGACCUAUGUCUUCUUCGAACUCGCAUGUCUACAGAAUGUCGUCCGUGACCUCGGUCACAGGAAACCUAAUACAACUUUCAGCAAUGGAUCUCUUGGCUCUCGCAUCGAUGAAGGACGCAGCGAAUCGCGAUAAGUAAUGUGAAUUGCAGAUUUUCCGUGAAUCAUCGAAUCUUUGAACGCACCUUGCGCUCCUUGGUAUUCCGAGGAGCAUGCCUGUUUGAGUGUCAUCGAAACAUCAGAUCGAAGCUUUCCACCUUCUCGGAACUUCGGUUGGAAUUUAGGGAAUUUGGCGGGCAACCCUCCCGUCGGGGGGACGUCGGCUCUCCUCAAAAGCAUUAGCGUUGGGUGCGAGCCUCGCGUGGCACGGCCUCUUCGACGUCAUAAUGACCGUCGUGGGCUGGAAGUGCGUGGAUCGUAGAUGCCCGUCGCUCUCCAACUCUGCGAGCCCGGUCCGUCCGGCCGCGUGUUAUCGAAGCUUGACCUCAAAUCAGGUAGGACUACCCGCUGAACUUAAGCAUAUCAAAAGCCCGGAGGAAA
rnacentral:rRNA from 1 species